ACCAGGGGGUGUUCGUUCUGUAGCAACAUGUCCGCAGAUAGAAGCUGGACAGGACUGUGUGUACGACUGAUUUAGUGAGAUGCACAA